rnacentral:rRNA from 1 species
AGUGAACGCUGGCGGUAGGCCUAACACAUGCAAGCCGAACGGCAGCACAGUAAGAGCUUGCUCUUACGGGUGGCGAGUGGCGGACGGGUGAGGAAUACAUCGGAAUCUACUUUUUCGUGGGGGAUAACGUAGGGAAACUUACGCUAAUACCGCAUACGACCUACGGGUGAAAGCAGGGGAUCUUCGGACCUUGCGCGAUUGAAUGAGCCGAUGUCGGAUUAGCUAGUUGGCGGGGUAAAGGCACACCAAGGCGACGAUCCGUAGCUGGUCUGAGAGGAUGAUCAGCGACACUGGAACUGAGACACGGUCCAGACUCAUACGGGAGGCAGCAGUGGGGAAUAUUGGACAAUGGGCGCAAGCCUGAUCCAGCCAUACCGCGUGGGCGAAGAAGGCCUUCGGGUUGUAAAGCCCUUUUGUUGGGAAAGAAAAGCAGCAGGUUAAUACCCCGCUGUUCUGACGGUACCCAAAGAAUAAGCACCGGCUAACUUCGUG